rnacentral:rRNA from 1 species
UACGAAGGGGGCUAGCGUUGUUCGGAAUCACUGGGCGUAAAGCGCACGUAGGCGGAUUUUUAAGUCAGGGGUGAAAUCCCGAGGCUCAACCUCGGAACUGCCUUUGAUACUGAGGAUCUUGAGUCCGGGAGAGGUGAGCGGAACUGCGAGUGUAGAGGUGAAAUUCGUAGAUAUUCGCAAGAGCACCAGUGGCGAAGGCGGCUCACUGGCCCGGAACUGACGCUGAGGUGCGAAAGCGUGGGGAGCAAACAGG